GUAGGGUAAUGGCCUACCAAGGCAAAGACGGGUAGGGGACUUGAGAGGGUGACCCCCCACAAUGGUACUGAAACACGGACCAUACACCUACGGGUGGCAGCAGUAGGGAAUUUUGCACAAUGGACGAAAGUCUGAUGCAGCAACGCCGCGUGUGCGAUGAAGGCCUUCGGGUUGUAAAGCACUUUUCUGAGGGAAGAGGAAGGACGGUACCUCAGGAAUAAGUCUCGGCUAACUACGUGCCAGCAGCCGCGGUAACACGUAGGAGGCAAGCGUUAUCCGGAUUUACUGGGCGUAAAGCGCGUGCAGGCGGUUUGGUAAGUUGGAUGUUAAAGCUCCCGGCUCAACUGGGAGAGGCCGUUCAAUACUGCCAGACUAGAGGACGGUAGAGGGAGGUGGAAUUCCCGGUGUAGUGGUGAAAUGCGUAGAUAUCGGGAGGAACACCAGUGGCGAAAGCGGCCUCCUGGGCCGAUCCUGACGCUAAGACGCGAAAGCAUGGGUAGCAAACGGGAUUAGAAACCCCGGUAGUCCAUGCCGUAAGCGAUGCAAACUUGGUGUUGGUGGUGUAAGAGCCAUCAGUACCGUAGCUAACGCGAUAAGUUUGCCGCCUGGGGAUUACGACCGCAAGGUUAAAACUCAAAGGAAUUGACGGGUUCCCGCACAAGCAGCGGAGCGUGUGGUUUAAUUCGAUACUACGCGAAGAACCUUACCUGGGCUUGACAUAUAGGUGGUAGGGAGCCGAAAGGUGACCGACCCUCCGGGGAGCCUAUACAGGUGCUGCAUGGCUGUCGUCAGCUCGUGUCGUGAGAUGUCCGGUUAAGUCCGGUAACGAGCGCAACCCUUGCCGUAUGUUAUACGUGUCAUACGGUACUGCCGGUAUAAAGCCGGGGGAAGGCGGGGAUGACGUCAAGUCAGCAUGGCCUUUAUGUCCAGGGCUACACACACGCUACAAUGGUCGGUACAAUGGGUCGCAAAAUCGCAAGGUGGAGCCAAUCCUCAAAACCGAUCUCAGUUCGAAUUGCAGGCUGCAACUCGCCUGCAUGAAGCUGGAGUUGCUAGUAAACGCGCGUCAGCAACAGUGCGUUGAAUACGUUCCCGGGAAUUGUACACACCGCCCGUCACGUCAUGGGAGCUGGUAACGCUUAAAGUCGGUAUCCUAACCCUUACGGGAAGGAACUGCCAAAGGUGGGACUGGUGACUGGGACGAAGUCG
rnacentral:rRNA from 1 species